AAGCAUCUACUUGACAGACCUAGAGUAGUUACUGUCUACUGCUAAGGUUUCCACUACACAUGCAAGAGAAACAUGUCCUCAGGAUUUCUGUCUAUCUGGCUGUAGUAGCCAAGACUGACUAGAGGGAUAUAGGG
rnacentral:snoRNA from 1 species